rnacentral:lncRNA from 1 species
CUCUUGGGUACUUUUGUUUACACACUGAAACCCGGGGUACAAUGAAACUAGCCAAUACCACUUUCGCGACGGAAUAUACUUGUCCUUACUUAUGUCAUGGAAGCCAUAACUGCAUGGGAUUCAAUUUUAAUGUUCAUUCAAGGGUCUGUGAAUUGAUCUCGACUGGAGAGAAAAUGCUUACAACCACGGGCUCAGGUUGGACAUUUGGUACAAAAUGUUUUCAGUGGAAAUGUUUUGCUUGUAUGUAGUACCAAACUUAUGACGUAUUUCGUUAUUCAUAAUUUACUAUAAUUGUAAUUUAAAAAUAACUUUUAUGAUGUAAAAUUGUAAUACAUUCUUUUUCUUGGAUAAUACAUUUAUCAAGUAAAAAACAAAUUUUUCUUCA